CUGGAGGUGAAGCAGUGCCCUCAUUCCGCGUUUCUCUGUGUGCCAGGUGUCCCUGCGGGCUGAGAGGAGCCCUUUGCUCAUUGAGGACAAGGGCAGAGGGACCCCGUGGGUGUGCUAAGUGUCAUCAAGGACCGUCUGCUCCUCCGCAGCGCGCUGAGAAGGGACAGGGAUGGUGUCCUGGGCUGAUGACACAAUUCACUUGCGAGGGGCAGUACUUCACCAGGCUCACAGAGGGAACCUGACAAAGCCCCACUGCAAUUUAUACCAACAGCAAUAAUCAAAGAUGGUCUCCAAGGGAAGGAAGUGAAGCGUUGACAAUGGUGAGGACCUGUUUGCUGCAGGAUUGUUCCCAACAGCCUGUUCCUGAUGGUGUUACUCAGCCUCCUUCUGAAUGCCUCAGAGACAAAAGGGCACCUUUUGCCAUGGCAAGGAAGCUCUCAAAUGGCAAGGUUUCUGCUCAUAACCUGAGCUCUAAGAGCUUUGGGUGGAAACUGGAUGGGAAGAGAAUGUUCCAUGUCAGAGCUGCACAAUUGCCUGUGUCCUCCUCUCCUGGGAGUGGGGAUGCCUUCCCUGUCCACGGACAUGCUGGGACAGUGUCUGUCAGUGCCCUCUCCAACCUUGGCUGGACAGGCAGUUAUGGCCCCAAGGAAUUUUAAAUGCCGUGGCACCCCUGCUGCUGCCAGAGUGACAGCCUGGCCCGGGCCCCUCGCGGUCAGUCGGACAGCUUGGCUCACACUGUGACUCCAGCACAGCCAGGCACGCCUUGACCUCUGUCAUCUGCUCCUCUCACAGGCUUUGCAUCUGCACUAGCUCCUGAGAGGGUUCUGCUCCAGACAGCAGCUCCAGCCACGGAACCAGCGCCGUGGGCCCACCGGGACCCGCUGGCACCCGGCACACGUGGGCCAAGGGCCCGAGCUUGGCACCCCCUGGCACCCGGCACAGCUCGUCCUGUGUGCCCCUCUGCCGUUCUGGGGAACAUCUGACUGCUGGAACUGCACCACCAGCCUUUGGGAGAUGGCCUCUGCUGCUGGGGAAGCAGUUGGAGUGUUUAUCGUGGCUUUAAGUUGAAAUGGGACAUUCAGAUUAGAUACCAGAAAAAUGUUUUCACUGUUUGGGCGCUAUAUAUAAAUAUAUAUAUAUUUAAUUCCAUUUGUGAAUCCAGGCCACAGGGCUUCAAGGCUUCCUUAGGCUUCCCUUGUGUCAGUUCCUGUACUGCCUUCACUUUGUUUAUUGAUCUGAAAGAAUCUGUCGUGCUCUAGUACAUUUCUAGUCUCAAACAUUAGGAUGAGGAGAAGGUCGGGGAUUUUAUCCCGCCAUUUCGCGCCGGGACUGACCAGCAGGGGGCGCGCACUUGCCCCUCACGCCCCCGUCACGUGGCCUUGGAGCCGAGGCCACGUGCAGUGCCCUCAGGUGCUCGGCGGGAAAGUUCUGCCCUCAGGCACGCGCUGCUCCCCUCAGAGCGCGGCGGGAAAAUCCGGUCCGGUCCGGUCCCUCAGAGCUCGCGCUGCUCCCCUCAGAGCGCGGCGGGAAAGUCCGGUCCGGUCCCGUCCCUCAGGACGCGGCGGGAAGCUCUGGUCCUGCACAUCCCGUCAUCCCUGGGACUCCGGCUGUCGGUAAGAAGGCUUUACUUGCUCUGGAGGGAAUUGUUUCCUGGGA
ensembl:lncRNA